UACGUAGGGUGCGAGCGUUAAUCGGAAUUACUGGGCGUAAAGCGUGCGCAGGCGGUUUUUUAAGACAGGCGUGAAAUCCCCGGGCUCAACCUGGGAACUGCGCUUGUGACUGGAAGGCUAGAGUACGGCAGAGGGGGUGGAAUUCCUGGUGUAGCGGUGAAAUGCGUAGAUAUCAGGAGGAACACCGGUGGCGAAGGCGGCCUUCUGGACGGUGACUGACACUCAGACGCGAAAGCGUGGGUAGCAAACAGG
rnacentral:rRNA from 1 species